UACGUAGGUGGCAAGCGUUGUCCGGAAUUAUUGGGCGUAAAGAGCUCGUAGGCGGUCUGUCGCGUCGGCUGUGAAAACCUGGGGCUCAACUCCGGGCCUGCAGCCGAUACGGGCAGACUAGAAUUCGGUAGGGGAGACUGGAAUUCCUGGUGUAGCGGUGAAAUGCGCAGAUAUCAGGAGGAACACCGGUGGCGAAGGCGGGUCUCUGGGCCGAUACUGACGCUGAGGAGCGAAAGCGUGGGGAGCGAACAGG
rnacentral:rRNA from 1 species